AUUGAACGCUGGCGGCAGGCUUAACACAUGCAAGUCGAGCGGAGCGGCGGACGGGGGAGUAAUGCCUAGGAAUCUGCUUGGUAGUGGGGGAUAACGUCCGGAAACGGGCGCUAAUACUGCAUACUAUCAGAUGAGCCUAGGUGGGAUUAGCUAGUUGGUGGGGUAAAGGCCUGCCAAGGCGACGAUCCGUAAAUGGGCUGAGAGGAUGAUCAGUCACACUGUAACUGAAACACGGUCCAGACACUGACAGGAGGCAGCAGUGGGGAAUGUUGGACAAUGGGCGGAAGCCUGAUCCAGCCAUGCCGCGUGUGUGAAGAGGGUCUGCGGAUUGUAAAGCGCUUUAAGUUGUGAGACGUUACCGACAGAAUAGGCACCGGCAAACUUCGUGCCAGCAGCCGCGGUAAUC
rnacentral:rRNA from 1 species